CACAAUCAACCCCCUCCCCCCACAAAAGGCAGGAUAAGAGGGAAAAAAGCAUAGAAAAUCCAGGACAAAUAGGAAUAAUAAGGUAAGAGAGAGAAAAGUAGAAAAAAGUCCAAAUUUAAAAAUCAUAUUAAAUGUAAAUGGACUAAACUUACAUUUUAUCAAAUUAGAUUCUUUAAAUCUAGAUACGUGCUAUUUUUAAGAGACAUGCCUACGGCAUAAGGAUAUGGCAAGAUCAAAAGUAAAAGGAAGGGGAAAAGUUUUCCAGCAAAAUUAUUAACCAAGGAAACCUGGUGUAACUAUAUUAAUAUCCACAUAAUGGAUUGUUAAGCAAAAGCAUGAUUAGAGAUAAGGGUAUCAUUAUGAUUACUUAAUUCAUCAGGAAGAUACAACAAUUCUAAAGUUGCAUGCUCCUAAUAAAGUAGCCUCAAAUGUGUAAAACACAUUGAUAGGACUGCAGGGGAGAAUGGAUAAAUCCACCAUUACCAUGUACCCACCUUUCUUAAUUAUUUAUAAGUCAAACUGACAAUAUAGUGAAGAGUAUGGUACCUGGUUAAAACCUAUGUGUGGUGUUUUUCAGGUCUGAUCACAGGCAGUUACAAAAGUUUUACCUGGCAGGCCUCUUGGGGAAGAGGCCUACAUCAGAUUUGGGGUACAGCCAAUGCAUUGCAGCCUCUGAGAGGACUUGCAGGCAAGGACUCAGGCCCCUCUGGCCAAUCAUGCUCUUUGGCAUACUUGCAUUCCUACUCCCAGAACCUUUAUUUCUAAGCUUUUAUCUAAGUCUUGGGCAGAUCUCUUCUUCAGGUGCCUGGGCUGAGGCCUCCUUAUGGGAAGCAGAGGGGAACCGUCAAAGGCACCUUUGCCCAGGCUUACUCAGUACUUUUCCACGCCUCAUCCUUCCCCCCUGCCCUCAGCCCCGACCCCAGGGGCCAUAAAACUAUUGGUGUCUUUUGUUCCGGGGCUCCCUCAACAGUGAGAUGAUCCCCACAUCACUGAUCCAGCUGACCUGGACCAGCGUGUACUUCCCUGGGGGAAAGCGGAACAGAAGGAGUCUGCACUUUCUGCAGUUUAGCCACUUGCUUGUUCCAAAGCAGACAACUGACCCAGUGCGGAAGAGCCUUAAAAGCUAAGGAGCUCUCUCCUUCAGGACCAAGGAUGGCUUCAGUUCCAGGGAUGCUACAGUUUAUAAGCAGCUAAAUACUAGCUUUGCUCUAGGGGAAUCCAGCAGCCAUGUCCCAUGUCAUGAAGAUACUCAGGCUGCUCACAUGAGGAGGAACUGAAGUCUCUGGCCAACAUCCAGGUAGACACUGAGGACUGCCAAAAAUCAUGUGAGCAAGUGUGGAAGCAGAUUUUCCCCAGUCCAGCUUUCAGAUGACUGCAGUCCCAGCUAACAGCUUGACUGCGAUCUCAUGAGAGAAUCCAGCUAAGACGCACCCAGAUGCUUUCCCCAAAGAAAUGUACGCGGGCCUCUCACUAUUGUGGCCUCUCCCGUAGCAGAGCACGGGCACCGGACGCGCAGGCUCAGCGGCCAUGGCUCACGGGCCCAGCCACUCUGCGGCAUGUGGGAUCUUCCCGGACUGGGGCACGAACCCAUGUCCCCUGCAUCGGCAGGCGGACUCUCAACCACUGCGCCACCAGGGAAGCCCUGUAACUUCGAUUUUUAACUUCUAUAAUCUAAAUAACAAUUAUUACUUGCAAAGUCAUUGUCUUGAAAACUAUUUUCACGAGAAAUCAUAACUCAUUUCAUUAAAAUAAAGACAGAAAAUUCAUCCUCAAAGAAAACUCAUUUGUCUUCUAAGAACAGCAUUUCAGAGAUUCAAAGAAAUUAGAAGUGGAAAAAUCAAUUAGAGAUAAUCUACCAGCUUGUCAGAAAGGAUUGCUUUCUACAAAAUAUAUUCUAUUUCUUUGUCUAGGUUAAUUUUUAAAUGUCUCAAGGGAUGGAGCACUUGUUAUAUCCCUCUGAAGUCUUUCCUUUUAUAUAACUGACCUUCCCAAGAAUCUUGUUUUUUUUCUAUUGUCUAAACUCCAUGUUAGUUAUUAAUUCUGUGCUAUUGCUUUUAAUUAUACUUUUUUCCUGUAGUAAUUCCUCUUCUCCCAAAUUCUGUUUUUAUACUCUCAGAUAUUUGUAAGA